rnacentral:ncRNA from 8 species
CCGUAGGUGAACCUGCGGAAGGAU